UAGGGAAUAUUGGUCAAUGGAUGGAAGUCUGAACCAGCCAUGCCGCGUGCAGGAAGAAGGCCUUCUGGGUUGUAAACUGCUUUUGCCAGGGGAUAAAAAGACCGUGCGCGGUUAAUUGAAGGUACCUGGUGAAUAAGCCACGGCUAACUACGUGCCAGCAGCCGCGGUAAUACGUAGGUGGCAAGCGUUGUCCGGAUUUAUUGGGUUUAAAGGGUGCGUAGGCGGCCCUGUAAGUCAGUGGUGAAAUAUCUCAGCUUAACUGAGAGGGUGCCAUUGAUACUGCAGGGCUUGAGUACAGAUGAGGUAGGCGGAAUUGACGGUGUAGCGGUGAAAUGCAUAGAUAUCGUCAAGAACACCGAUAGCGAAGGCAGCUUACUAAGCUGUAACUGACGCUGAGGCACGAAAGUGUGGGGAUCAAACAGG
rnacentral:rRNA from 1 species